AAAUCUAAUAACACGCGUCGGACCCGUGACUUAUAUUCAUGUAUACGCACUCCGAGCCCAUCAAGCGAGCGUUUAAAAAAGCCCCGGAAAAACCGCUCAUAUUUGAAAAAGCGAAAUCGGUAGCGGAGUCUUAAAAGUAUCCGCCUCCAACGGCCAGCUAUUAUAACUAUAGCCGAAACUUUCUUACAUUGUACACAAAUGAUUGACACGUUAUAAUUCG